CAACGUUACACUGUUGAGAGUUACGCAAGAGGGAAAAUGGUGCAUGUUUUGUUUACUUGCUCUAUUGAAUACAGAUUGCCCCGUCUACAAUUUGAUCGAUUAUUAACCACUUACCGAGAUAGCUAACUAGCUCCUAAAUUAGAAAUACAACUGCAAAUAAUUUAGCACAUUUUAGACAGUUAACUUAAUAGUUCUAAGAUAUCUAGUUGACAAACAUUUAGUUGUGAAUUCCAUACUGUAAUUAGAUCACCAAGCGCACACUGCACAACAGAAUGGCUGAACGAAACAGAACAUUUCUGUUUUUUAGGACUAGAGAGCUCGCCAUCUUAUGACUGCGCCACGAGUUGUGGAACAAUGAAAUCAGAUUCAGAUACCCUUCAUUUGACGUAGACGACUGAGGUGCGUUCAGUUUGCUUGAACGUUUGCUACAUUACUGAACAGUUUUUACUGAACGACACGUUUCCCCAAAACGUUAUUGAACAGACUUUGAGGUACGUUUGCUCCUGUUUGGUGUUGUGUAAUUUUUUUUUAAAUAUGAAAAUAUAUCACAUUACACGCAAUGACAGAAUGCAAUGUAAACUUCACGGACAGAAACACUUGUAUGUUUUAUCGAUAGGAGUGGGAAAAAAAGCUUGUGGUUGUGAAUUGUUAAGCUUACCAAAGCACACCAUAGUAGGCAUUAACGAUAAGUAAUCAAAUAAAGAUGUUUUUCACACCAUAGCCUGCAGGAGUUGCACUAACUAUUCUUUCAUUUUGAUUAGUCAGUCAUUAUUGUCAGGUAGGUUUUACAGUCCGUGUUAGGAGAAGAGGGCUGUGGUUCCUAUCAGGGGGGUUGCUGGGUAUUUGAUUGGUAAUAUGGGUAGAUGUUUAGAGUGAAGAUCUGAUUAUAGAUUAUUCACACUGGGAGAGAAUGUGUUUUCUUUCUUCACUCUAUGUGUGGACGUCAAUGAACAGUUCCCAUUCUCCCAUACAGCCUCUCAAUCGCAGCCUGGUUUGAUUAGUCGACCUGGAUCCGUAACUUUGUUACUGUGAUAAACCAGGAGUGUUGAGUGGAAUUACUCAAGUCGUUGCUUUGAAACUGCAGCUUGUUGGUACAGGCAGGCAUGCGCUCACCCAACAACACUAGUAACAAACUGUGUUUUCUACUCAAGUAGGAUGACUAGUGUAACCACAGCACCAUCAAGUGGCUCAACUGGUAACUGCAGUAUUUCACAUCACUACAGUUACGUUCAUACUAAAGCCAUUCCUAUCCCUGCCUCAGCCCUGUCCUUCCUCCUACUUUCUCCUGCUGUAGCUGUGGUUUCUAGUAAACUGCCCCUAGUCUAUUAGAGAGAGAGAGAGCGGUGUUUAUCUUAGAAAGGGGGGAUGUUAUGAAUGUUGUCCACAGGUGCACGCAAACAUGACACAGGACUGGAGUACCUGUUUUUGUCCAGGUGGAGGCAGGAGUGGUCAAUACUGCACAGAGGAGGGCCCGGAGAACAAGAAAGAUGAAGAAGAGGAGGGCUACCUUUCCAAAAUCAAGAACAUCUUUAGCUGAUAGUCACAUCUCAGUUAGGACCCCUUUACAUUAGAUCUGUAAUGUAUUUGUCUCAUUUUAACAUGAGCAAUCAUAUACAUUCAUAACACACAUACACUCUAUCAUAUCAUUCCUCCAAGCAGCGGUGUGGCUGUUCUAUUGUAGAUAAUAUGUAUAACUAAAUAUACUGUACCUGUUCCUAAUUAUUCUCCUUAGGCCUAUUCCAUAGAACCAGCCUCACACCUGUCUCCCACCCCUCCCAUUAACCCUGACCAAAAUAGUCACUUUGUGAAGAGUUUGUCUGACCCCUAUUUUUAAUUUCCUCUCCGCAGAUAAGAGAUCAACAGGACAAUAAUGGGAGAAGGAAAGCUGCUGGUGCUCCGUCCCUCUCACUACCCUCCCACACCAAACGCCUGGAUAGAGAGGGAAAGAAAGGGAGGAGAAAUUGAGAGAGAGGGGUUUGGAUGUGAGGAGAGGACAUCGAUAUUCAGGGAAUGGCCCAUCAAGGAGUCAAGCCACACACUGACACUGCUCAGUCCCCAAAGAGACAGGUGUUGGGUUGGGACACUAAGGACUUGUAAUAACUGGAGGGGGAUCAGAGUGGAUGCCAGCCAGUGUCUGCAUGCUUGGCAAGGAAGGGAAGACGAGAAGACUAGCGGGGAGGAGAAGAGAGGACAUGAGCGAGCAAUGAGUGUGUUCCAGACACCAACAUUCUGCACAGACGCUCAGGGCCUGUAUUCAUAAAGCUACUAACAGUAGGAGUGCUGAUCUAAAAUGCAAAACUGUUCCCAAAUCAGCCUUCCUACUCUGAGACGCUUUGUGAAUACAGCGUCCAACACCUCAGGAACCACGUUUAUAUGAUAUAAUGAUCCUAUAAUCUGCACAGUAUUUGGGUGUCUAGAACACAGCCAUUUGCAUCAUGUUGUGGUCUGAUAAAGGCCGAUGCAUUUAGUUGUAUUGUCAUUGUGGUGUUGUUGUAUGUGUAAGGGACAACACAGCUCUGCAAGACUUACCUAGGUUUAAAUAAAUAACAUUUUAUAGUAAAAACAA